rnacentral:rRNA from 1 species
AAACGUAGGGGGCCAGCGUUGUCCGGAAUUACUGGGCGUAAAGAGCGCGUAGGCGGUUUGGUUAGCGGAGGGUGCAAUCCAGAGGCUCAACCUCUGAACUGCUCUCCGAACUGCCAGACUUGAGUACGGGAGAGGGUAGUGGAAUUCCUGGUGUAGCGGUGGAAUGCGUAAAUAUCAGGAGGAACACCCGUGGCGAAGGCUGCUACCUGGAACGUUACUGACGCUGAGGCGCGAAAGCUAGGGGAGCGAACGGGAUUAGAUACCCCGGUAGUCCUAGCCGUAAACGAUGGACACUAGGUGUUGGGGGAUCGACCCCCCCAGUGCUGUUCUGUUAACGCGUUAAGUGUCCCGCCUGGGGAGUACGGUCGCAAGGCUAAA